rnacentral:rRNA from 1 species
UUCGGGUACGGCUCCGGUCUAAGUUCCUUGGAACAGGACGUCAUAGAGGGUGAGAAUCCCGUAUGUGACCGGCCGCCACGCCCGUGUGAAGCUCCUUCGACGAGUCGAGUUGUUUGGGAAUGCAGCUCAAAAUGGGUGGUAAAUUUCAUCUAAAGCUAAAUAUUGGCCAGAGACCGAUAGCGCACAAGUAGAGUGAUCGAAAGAUGAAAAGCACUUUGGAAAGAGAGUCAAACAGUACGUGAAAUUGUUGAAAGGGAAGCGCUUGCAACCAGACUUGCCCGCGGGUGAUCAACCGGUAUUCUUACCGGUGCACUCGCCCGUGGUCAGGCCAGCAUCGGUUCGGGCGGCUGGAUAAAGUCCACUGGAAUGUAGCUCCUCUCGGGGAGUGUUAUAGCCAGAGGUGCCAUGCAGCCCGCCCGGACCGAGGACCGCGCUUCGGCUAGGAUGCUGGCGUAAUGGUUGCAAGCGACCCGUCUUGAAACACGGACCAAGGAGUCUAACAUCUAUGCGAGUGUUUGGGUGUCAAACCCAUGCGCGUAAUGAAAGUGAACGGAGGUGGGAACCCUCAAGGGUGCACCAUCGACCGAUCCUGAUGUCUUCGGAUGGAUUUGAGUAAGAGCAUAGCUGUUGGGACCCGAAAGAUGGUGAACUAUGCCUGAAUAGGGUGAAGCCAGAGGAAACUCUGGUGGAGGCUCGCAGCGG